GAUGAGCGCUGGCGGCGUGCCUAAUACAUGCAAGUCGAGCGGUAAGGCCCCUUCGGGGGUACACGAGCGGCGGACGGCUGAGUAACACGUAGGAACGUACCCCAAAGUGAGGGAUAAAUGCUCGCAAGAGUAGCUAAUACCGCAUGUGAUCCACGGAUUAAAGCUUUAUGCGCUGUGGGAACGGCCUGCGUCCGAUUAGUUUGUUGGUGAGGUAAUAGCUCACCAAGGCGAUGAUCGGUAGCUGGUCUGAGAGGAUGAUCAGCCAGACUGGGACUGAGACACGGCCCAGACUCCUACGGGAGGCAGCAGUAGGGAAUUUUCCACAAUGGGCGAAAGCCUGAUGGAGCAACGCCGCGUGCAGGAUGAAUGCCUUAGGGUUGUAAACUGCUUUUAAUAGUGACGAUUAUGACGGUAACUAUUGAAUAAGGACCUGCUAACCACGUGCCAGCAGCCGCGGUAA
rnacentral:rRNA from 1 species